rnacentral:rRNA from 1 species
UCCUCCCUCUGGCGGCGUGCUUAACACAUGCAAGUCGAACGGAAAGGCACUGCUUGUGUGGGGUGCUCGAGUGGCGAACGGGUGAGUAACACGUGAGUAACCUGCCCUUGACUUUGGGAUAACUUCAGGAAACUGGGGCUAAUACAGGAUAGGAGCUCCUGCUGCAUGGUGGGGAUUGGAAAGUUUCGGCGGGUGGGGAUGGACUCGCGGCUUAUCGGCUUGUUGGUGGGGGGGUGGCUUACCAAGGCUUUGAAGGGUAGCCGGCCUGAGAGGGUGACCGGCCACAUAGGGACUGAGAUACGGCCCAGACUGCUACGGGAGGCAGCAGUGGGGAAGAUUGCACAAUGGGCGGAGGCCUGAUGCAGCAACGCCGCGUGCGGGAUGACGGCCUUCGGGUUGUAAACCUCUUUCGCCUGUGACGAAGCGUGAGUGACGGUAAUGGGUAGAGAAGGACCGGCUAACUACGUG